GGAUUAGGCAUGCAAGUCGAACGAGAUGGUAGGGUAACUUGCCAUCUAGUGGCGGAAGGGUUAGUAAUACAUGAAUAACUUGCCUUCAACCUGGGGAUAACGGCUGGAAACGGCCGCUAAUACCGAAUGAGGUGCAUAAGGGGCAGCCCUAGUGCAUCAAAGUGGGGGACCGGGAAACCGGCCUUGCGGUUGAAGAGAGGUUCAUGGGAUAUCAGCUAGUUGGUGUGGUAAUGGCGCACCAAGGCUAAGACGUCUAGGCGGAUUGAGAGAUUGACCGCCAACAUUGGGACUGAGAUACUGCCCAGACUCCUACGGGAGGCUGCAGUCGAGAAUCUUUCGCAAUGGGCGAAAGCCUGACGAAGCGACGCUGUGUGAGUGAUGAAGGCCUUCGGGUUGUAAAGCUCUUUCGCUUGGGAACAAGAGAGGUUGAUGAAUAAUCAGCUAAUUUGAGGGUACUUAAGUAAAGAAGCACCGGCUAACCCCGUGCCAGCAGCCGCGGUAAUA
rnacentral:rRNA from 1 species